rnacentral:lncRNA from 1 species
AAUCCUUAGCAACACAAGCAACUCGUGUACUCAACAUAAUGAUGUGUAUUUCCAUUCCCAAUCAAUGUGAUUGAAUAAAUUAGUUCUGUUAUGUGUUUCUUGUGGUUGUGAUGCAAAUUAAAGUUGAUAACAAGUUAAAAUGACUAUCAUCUUCUUAGCUUAACCUUUUUGCUAAUGAGAUCCUUGUGGCGUCCACUGCUUUUCCCUUCUUUCGUGCCUACUCUUGUGCCUAUCAAAUUCAUUUGUUUGUAAUUGUUAAACACGCCAUGACAUAUGCUCUAAUCAUAUGACAUAGACGUGCUUGAUAACUUUUUAUUUAUGCAGAUAUUGUUUGUGUCAACAUAGACUGCUUGUGUCAACGUCUAAGCUGCUUUUGGAAGCGGAAUAAGUUAACCUGGAAUAAAUGGGUUAAUUUACUCCUACUUCUCUUUACUCCAAAAUAUCUUACUCCAUGCUAUAUGAAAUAAUUUAUUCUUGAGGUUAAGUAGGGUAAAUGGGUUUGGAAGGUAAAAUGUUAUUUAG